AAAAAAUAUAAGAGAGGCCAAAGUUCAUCAAUAUUGCAUUAAUUUUGUUGCCUUUUUAAUCGUUUAUUCAAUAGAAUGAUUAAGGAAAGAAUAGCUUUUGUUGUUCUUUUCCU
rnacentral:ribozyme from 1 species